rnacentral:rRNA from 1 species
AGAGUUUGAUCCUGGCUCAGGAUGAACGCUAGCUACAGGCUUAACACAUGCAAGUCGAGGGGCAGCAUAUAGAUAGCUUGCUAUUUAUGAUGGCGACCGGCGCACGGGUGAGUAACGCGUAUCCAACCUUCCCUAUACUAGAGGAUAGCCCGGCGAAAGUCGGAUUAAUACUCUAUGUUUUCCAAAGAUGGCAUCUGACUUGGAACAAAGGUUUACCGGUAUAGGAUGGGGAUGCGUCUGAUUAGGUUGUUGGCGGGGUAACGGCCCACCAAGCCUGCGAUCAGUAGGGGUUCUGAGAGGAAGGUCCCCCACAUUGGUACUGAGACACGGACCAAACUCCUACGGGAGGCAGCAGUGAGGAAUAUUGGUCAAUGGGCGCGAGCCUGAACCAGCCAAGCAGCGUGCAGGAAGACUGCCCUAUGGGUUGUAAACUGCUUUUAUAGGGGAAUAAAGUGAGGUAUGCAUACCUUUUUGUAUGUACCCUAUGAAUAAGGACCGGCUAAUUCCGUGCCAGCAGCCGCGGUAAUACGGAAGGUCCGGGCGUUAUCCGGAUUUAUUGGGUUUAAAGGGAGCGCAGGCGGGAGGAUAAGCGUGUUGUGAAAUGUACCGGCUCAACCGGUGAUGUGCAGCGCGAACUGUUUUCCUUGAGUGAGUACGACGUCAGCGGAAUUCGUGGUGUAGCGGUGAAAUGCUUAGAUAUCACGAAGAACCCCGAUUGCGAAGGCAGCUGACGAGUCCUUAACUGACGCUAAAGCUCGAAAGUGCGGGUAUCGAACAGGAUUAGAUACCCUGGUAGUCCGCACGGUAAACGAUGGAUGCCCGCUGUUUGCGAUACACUGUAAGCGGCCAAGCGAAAGCGUUAAGCAUCCCACCUGGGGAGUACGCCGGCAACGGUGAAACUCAAAGGAAUUGACGGGGGCCCGCACAAGCGGAGGAACAUGUGGUUUAAUUCGAUGAUACGCGAGGAACCUUACCCGGGCUUGAGCUGCAGGAGAAGGAUACAGAGAUGUUGACGUCCUUCGGGACUCCUGUGGAGGUGCUGCAUGGUUGUCGUCAGCUCGUGCCGUGAGGUGUCGGCUUAAGUGCCAUAACGAGCGCAACCCCUCUCGUCAGUUGCCAUCAGGUAGUGCUGGGCACUCUGGCGACACUGCCACCGUAAGGUGCGAGGAAGGUGGGGAUGACGUCAAAUCAGCACGGCCCUUACGUCCGGGGCUACACACGUGUUACAAUGGGUGGUACAGAGAGUAGGGUGCCGGCAACGUCGCCCCAAUCAACAAAGCCAUCCUCAGUUCGGAUUGGGGUCUGCAACCCGACCCCAUGAAGCUGGAUUCGCUAGUAAUCGCGCAUCAGCCAUGGCGCGGUGAAUACGUUCCCGGGCCUUGCACACACCGCCCGUCAAG